GAUGAACGCUGGCGGCGUGCCUAAUACAUGCAAGUCGAGCGAACAGACGAGGUUCUUGCUCCUCUGACGUUAACGGCGGACGGGUGAGUAACACGUGGAUAACUUACCUAUAAAACUGGGAUAACUUCGGGAAACCGGAGCUAAUACCUGAUAAUCUAUUGAACCGCAUGGUUCAAUAGUGAAAGACGGUUUUGCUGUCACUUAUAGCUGGAUCCGCGCCGCAGUAGCUAGUUGGUUAGGUAACGGCUUACCAAGGCAACGAUGCGUAGCAGACGGAAGAGGGAGAUGGGCCACACUGAACAUGAGACACGGUCCAGGAUCAUACGGACGGCAGCAAUAGGGAAUAUACCGCAGUGGACGAAGGCCAGACGGAGCAACGCAGGAUGAGUGAUGAAGGUCUUCAGAAUGUAAACCACUGUUAUUGGGAAAAGACAAAUGUGUAAGUAACUGUGGGCGUCUUGAGGGAACCUAGGCAGAAAGCCACGGUUAACUACUU
rnacentral:rRNA from 1 species